CUCAGCCCAACCUUGGUUUUGCUCUGGAUGUGAGGGGUCUGUGCUGGUUUCCAAUUGGUUGCUGAUGCAACUGUUGCUGCAGCAAGGAAAGUUGCAGCUGGCGUUGAUGAAGCUUAAUGAAGUUUAAAGCAGGAGGCAAAGUUUGCUGAUGACCAUGGUUGCUUUCUUUGUCUUUGCUUCGAGUUUAUGCUGAAUUACCCAUAAGACAGUUAUGAAGAAGGAAAAUGAGAAGCACUUCUUUUGGGUGACAUGAAAUGCACCUCAGGCUACCAGAAUAAAUGAAUGUGUUCUACCCCUCCUAAAUAUCAAGUCAUGAACCUGAAAAGAAAUGCAAAAGCCACACCAAUUUUUGAGUCCUAGAGCCUUGAUUCUGGGGGUGGAGCCUAUAAAGCUGGACUUCUGGUAAUGAUCUGGGGAGUAGUUCCCAGGUUUAUUGAGCUGGUGUAUUAGAUUUCCUGCUGCAUGAGCAAGAAGAUUAUGGUGGCUUACGUCUAAGUGUACUUUUGGGAGGCAUUUUGUAUUUUCUCUAUAAAUAGUCUUUCUAAAACACAAUUGUGAAACUAUUAAUGUUUAUAUCGCAUUAUACAUCUCUCUAAGUUUACUGUGCUGAGUAUACAGUGUGGUAGCAAGAGGAAAUCUUUUUGUCUAAGAAACAUGUUCAGAAUUGUCAUUGUUAAAAGGCUACUAAAAGGCAGGAUUGUUAUAUUUAUCUUUUUAUCUGUAGGGUGUUUUUGGCUUGUUAUACUGAGCCAUUCCUCUUUUCAACAAUAGUAAAAUUGCAUCUCUUAAGGAGUUAAGCUCUUCAAUAGAACUUAAAAAUGUUGAACUUCCAGCAGAAGUGUGGGCAUCAUGGCUAUUCUUUUUGUGUCGGAAAAAUGUCAAAUGAGUCUACUGCAAUUAUAAGCUCUUCACAGAUAAACCUUGGACUUGGGGCUGAGAGCACGUGCAUAGUAUAACUUGUAUUUUACACUGAAUAUUUUUUUUUUUCUUAAGAAAAAGAAAGCAUUUAUUAUGUAAUUUAAAGAAAAAAGCAAUGGAAACAUCCUUCAUCCUAAAAUAAAUGGAAAAUAUAUGUAGGUGGAAGGAA